rnacentral:lncRNA from 1 species
UAAAAGCACACAUGUUCAUAGAGGGGCUGCAUCUGGCUAAAAGUAAACCAGAAAAUGAUCUCUCGGUCUUUUUUUUUCACCAAGUUGAACACCGAAAAGCAAAUGGUAAAGCAGGCCAUUAAUGAUGCUUAUUGUAGCUGGUAGGAAAUAGGAGCUUAAGACAUCAUGUUCCGAUGACAAAUCUGCUGGAGUUUGAUUUCUGGACUCCCUUUCAUCUGCUCAGGGACAGAGCCAAGAUUUCCC